GCUCAGCUGAGCAGAGGUGUUGGGAGGCAGGAGGAGACCCGGCGCCCCAGCAGACUGAUACCGUUUGCCUUCAAGCUGUCGCAGGGAAGAGCAGCCUUUCUGUAUUGUGGCAUCCAAGCAAAACCACGCUCUAACAACAAGACCAAUCGGAUAAUGCAGCAAAGAAAGCACAGGAGACAAAUGGUUUAUGACACUCAAGUUACCUUUACUGUGCAAGCACACUGCGCAUGACAACUGCUAUCCAAGACUGAUGUUCCUGAGCGUC